UAGCCGUAAACGAUACUCGCUAGGUGUCGGCCACGGUGCGACCGUUGUCGGUGCCGUAGGGAAGCCGUGAAGCGAGCCACCUGGGAAGUACGGCCGCAAGGCUGAAACUUAAAGGAAUUGGCGGGGGAGCACAACAACGGGUGGAGCUUGCGGUUUAAUUGGAUUCAACGCCGGAAAUCUUACCGGGACCGACAGCAACAUGAAGGCCAAGCUGAAGACUUUGCCGGAUUAGCUGAGAGGUGGUGCAUGGCGUAGACGUCU
rnacentral:rRNA from 1 species